CUGCGCAUGCGUCAGGCAUGGAGAGCGGAAGCGGAAGGUUGAAUGCGUCGGGUGGGCACCUCAGCAACCAGUAGCCAUGCGCGCCUUGGAGGAGACUGGGCCUCGGCCUACAGCGACCCCGUGCGGCUGCGUGAAGCCGGAUCUGGAGACAGGGAAUCUUUUAACUGAGCCAGUUGGCUACUUGGAAUCUUGUUUCUCGGCCAAGAAUGGUACUCCAAGACAGCCAUCCAUUUGUAGCUAUUCUCGAGCCUGUUUGAGGAUUAGAAAGAGGAUCUUUAAUAAUCCUGAACAUUCCUUGAUGGGCCUAGAACAGUUUUCUCAUGUUUGGAUUUUGUUUGUUUUUCACAAAAAUGGUCAUUUGAGCUGUAAGGCAAAAGUGCAGCCUCCUAGGCUGAACGGUGCAAAGACUGGAGUUUUUUCCACAAGGAGCCCUCAUCGUCCCAAUGCAAUAGGACUGACCCUGGCCAAGCUGGAAAAGGUAGAAGGUGGAGCUAUAUACCUUUCUGGAAUUGACAUGAUACAUGGCACACCCGUACUAGACAUCAAGCCCUACAUAGCUGAGUAUGACUCACCGCAAAAUGUGAUGGAGCCUUUAGCAGACUUUAAUUUACAGAAUAACCAACAUACACCAAACACUGUGUCCCAGUCUGACAGCAAGACUGACAGCUGUGACCAGCGACAGCUCUCAGGGUGUGAUGAGCCACAACCCCACCAUAGCACUAAGAAGAAACCUAAAUGUCCUGAAGACAGAACUUCAGAAGAAAACUACCUGACACACAGUGACACAGCCAAAAUUCAGCAAGCAUUUCCUAUGCACAGGGAGAUAGCAGCGGAUUUUGGUUUGGAAUCAAGAUGUGAUCAGAGUUCCAGUGUGGCAGAAGAACAAAUUGGCCCAUAUUGCCCAGAGAAGAGCUUUUCAGAGAAAGGUACAGACAAGAAGCUAGAAAGAGUGGAAGGAGCAGCAGUCUUGCAAGGAAGCAGGGCAGAGACACAGCCCAUGGCCCCUCACUGCCCUGCUGGAAGGGCUGAUGGAGCUCCCCGCAGCGUGGUUCCUGCCUGGGUGACAGAGGCUCCUGUGGCCACUUUAGAAGUGCGGUUUACUCCUCAUGCAGAGAUGGACCUUGGGCAGCUCAGUUCACAAGAUGUUGGUCAGGCGUCAUUUAAAUAUUUUCAGUCAGCAGAGGAAGCAAAGCAUGCCAUUGAGGCUGUGCUGUCAGCGGAUCCUCGGUCUGUGUACCGCCGGAAGCUUUGCCAGGACCGCCUUUUCUACUUUACUGUAGACAUAGCGCAUGUCACUUGCUGGUUUGGUGAUGGCUUUGCAGAGGUGCUGAGGAUCAAGCCGGCUUCUGAGCCUGUUCAUAUGACUGGCCCUGUGGGGUCCUUGGUGUCUCUAGGAGAAGAAAAUGAAGUUGACGUGAAUCAACCUCUUGUUGGUAGGGUUUUUAAAAUGCUACAGCCCCAGAGAAAGCAGGAGAAGACUCAAUAAAAAUGAAAGCCUGCAUCACUUACUGAACUUUUAUCAUGUCCUUGGAACUGGACUAUGUGCUUUUCGUACAUUGGGUGGAGGUUGAGUAAUGUGCUCAAGCUGCUCAGCUGCACAGCUAGGAUUCCAACCCACCAGUCUGGCCUGAGUCCUCUUCCUUCUCAGCCUGGCUCUACGCCUUAGCAAAUCAUGCUGGUUUAUUGGAAGGUCAGCAGUUCCAUAUGAUUCAGCACAUGAGUCUUUGGCAGAAUGAAGUCCAUGGAAAUCCAACCACUCGUGAAGAAUGCACAGGGGAAUAAGGGCAGAAACGCCCAUUCCCACAGGAUCUGCAUGGAACCUCCUGGGAAGCAAGAUGGGAAAUGCGAAGAGCACUGGGCUUGGCCUCAGAAACUUCAAGCACUUUCUGCCCUGCCAUGGGCUAGCUCGUGACCUCAGGCAAGUCGCUGCACCCUGCCUCUAGCUCUGUGACCUUACAGGAGUUGUUGCCAGGAUAAUGCUUGGGAAAGUGUCUUCUGAACUCUUCAAUGACCUAUAAACCUAGGUUCCAGCAGAUGCAAUUCACAGAAGGUUCAAGGUUUAGGCCAGUGCACGUGGCUGUGAACAGCAAAUGGAGGAAGAGCCUUUUCAAUGCCCGCAGUGCAAAAACUCAGUGAUAUACUCUCUGUUUUUCAGUGGAGGGGGGCACUUGGCAUAUGAGCUUACACCACAAGAAUCACAUUUGUGUUAAUGUGUGUUUAUGUUGUGUUGACAAAAAGUGUAGGAAGCCAAGCAUGCUGGUGUGUGCCUAUAGUCCCAGUUACUCAGGAGGCUGAGGCAGAAGGAUUGCUUGAGCCCAGGAGUUCAAGGCUGCAAGGAGUUCAAAGCUAUGAUCAUGCCACUGUCCUCCAGUCUGGGCAACAGAGCAAGACCCCACAUCUAAAAAAAAUUUUAAAAAAAAUUUUAAAGUAGGAUUAGCAGUAAUACAAUGUUAUCUUCUGCCUCGUAGAUAGCUUGAAAAUUCUGAGAUUCUUUGCUAAUAUAUCUAACUCUUCAUCCAAUUCAAGACAUAAAAAACAUUUUUAAAUUCCAUGUUAACUUUUGUUUUAAAAAGUUAUCCACAUGCUAAACACUGAAAAACUACAUAAUUCUUCAUAUUAGUAUAGACUUUACAAUGCAAUUUAAAAUAUAUUAUCUUAUUUGGUAUCUCAGUAAUAUUAUGGAUUAAUUGUGCUUCUGGGAGCUAAGCUGUGGGCCUAACCACCACUUAGAAGAGGGGUCAGCAAAUGAUAGUCCAAAGGCCAAAUCUGGCCCACAGCCUGUUUUGGCACUACCUGAGAUCUAAGAUUGGUCUUUACAUUUUUAAAGGAUUGUAAACAAAACAAAACAAAACAAAAAACCCAGAGAAGAAGACAUGACAGAGAUUGGUGGGUAAAGCUGAACAUACUCACAAUCUGGCCCUUUACAGAAAAACCCCUGAUCCCACUCCUUGAUUUAGAACAUUAUUUCUCUGAAACUUGUUGUGAGUUCCAGAAAGGUUAUUUACAGAAAGGUUAUAUUGAGUUCCAGAAAGGUUAUUACAUACAGAAAGGUUACAUUUUUGGGAUAUCACAUGCUUCUAAGUCAGAGACUGUUUUUAUUUUUAAAGGAUUUAUUUAGCCAUGUGAGAAAAUGUAUGAAUAGGAUAUAAAUGGCAAGUAUGUAUUACAAUAUCCCAUUCAUAUAUGUAAAAUGAGGAGGUUAUACAACCCAUGUUUGCACAUCUGUGGAAAAUUUCUAGAAGCAUAAACAAAAAUAUGCUAACAGUGGUUACCUUGGGGUGGGUUCUCUGGGGACUCACUGCAGAAGGGGACUUUUUGCUUUAUUCUCUUCAGUACCUUAUGAAUUUUCUGUCUAAUCACAAGCAUGCAUUAUUUUUAUAUGUGGAACAUGAGGAAAGUAAAAUGUCUAGAACUCAAA